AUGUCAGUUGAAGCUAUAUACUCUGACCCUGCCAAGAGGCCUCUUUGUCUUCAGAAUGCCGAGCACCAAAGCUUCACUCAACCCAUUGAAGGUGUUCAAGCAGCAACACGAAUCUAUCCAUUGGCUGGAAAUACUCGUCUGCCUCAUCGAGCACCUACUGAAGCCACUGAAAGCACCAUUGCACAAAGGCCUUGGAAGCGUUCUUGUGUUCUCAAUGACCGAGAACUUCUUAUGGCCCUUCAUCAGAAACAGGAUAAGCAUCACUAUUGGCUCAAGAGACAGAUGCAAAGCCUCUUGGUGGAUGUCAAUCGCAUUCGCAACCUUGCCACCAAGAAUGCCUUUGUUGCUCAUGAAACUUGCCGGCGAUCAUGGAAGAGUUUGACCCUGCUUAGUGCUGAAGCAGAUCUUCAAGACGAUGGCUUCAAUGAAAGAUUCCAGUUUGACUCCACUCCUCCACGGACUGUUGUCCUACGUCACACUCCAUCUCUUGAAGACUCUGAAUAUUCUUCCUCUGCGGCAACGGUAAAUGCCAGAGUGAUCGAUGAUGAAGAUGAUGCUACUUCACCACCUCCUACCACUGCACGCAUCGACACUGCACCAAGUUCAUCUGCACCGCCAACCAACGACGACAACCCUGCUGCUUCACCUACUCAUGAGGACCAGUAG
rnacentral:rRNA from 1 species